rnacentral:rRNA from 1 species
AUUGAACGCUGGCGGCAGGCCUAACACAUGCAAGUCGAGCGAGCGGCGGACGGGUGAGUAAUGUCUGGGGAUCUGCCUGAUAGAGGGGGAUAACUACUGGAAACGGUGGCUAAUACCGCAUACCAUCGGAUGAACCCAGAUGGGAUUAGCUAGUUGGUGGGGUAAAGGCUCACCAAGGCGACGAUCUCUAGCUGGUCUGAGAGGAUGAUCAGCCACACUGGAACUGAGACACGGCCCAGACUCCUACGGGAGGCAGCAGUGGGGAAUAUUGCACAAUGGGCGCAAGCCUGAUGCAGCCAUGCCGCGUGUAUGAAGAAGGCCUUAGGGUUGUAAAGUACUUUCAGCGGGGAGGCGUUACCCGCAGAAGAAGCACCGGCUAACUCCGUGCCAGCAGCCGCGGUAAUUC